rnacentral:rRNA from 1 species
GACGAACGCUGGCGGCGUGCCUAAUACAUGCAAGUUGAGCGCUGAAGGUUGGUACUUGUACCAACUGGAUGAGCAGCGAACGGGUGAGUAACGCGUGGGGAAUCUGCCUUUGAGCGGGGGACAACAUCUGGAAACGAAUGCUAAUACCGCAUAAAAACUUUAAACACAAGUUUUAAGUUUGAAAGAUGCAAUUGCAUCACUCAAAGAUGAUCCCGCGUUGUAUUAGCUAGUUGGUGAGGUAAAGGCUCACCAAGGCGAUGAUACAUAGCCGACCUGAGAGGGUGAUCGGCCACAUUGGGACUGAGACACGGCCCAAACUCCUACGGGAGGCAGCAGUAGGGAAUCUUCGGCAAUGGACGGAAGUCUGACCGAGCAACGCCGCGUGAGUGAAGAAGGUUUUCGGAUCGUAAAACUCUGUUGGUAGAGAAGAACGUUGGUGAGAGUGGAAAGCUCAUCAAGUGACGGUAACUACCCAGAAAGGGACGGCUAACUACGUG